rnacentral:rRNA from 1 species
UGGGGAAUAUUGGACAAUGGGCGAAAGCCUGAUCCAGCCAUGCCGCGUGUGUGAAGAAGGUCUUCGGAUUGUAAAGCACUUUAAGUUGGGAGGAAGGGCAGUAAGCGAAUACCUUGCUGUUUUGACGUUACCGACAGAAUAAGCACCGGCUAACUCUGUGCCAGCAGCCGCGGUAAUACAGAGGGUGCAAGCGUUAAUCGGAAUUACUGGGCGUAAAGCGCGCGUAGGUGGUUCGUUAAGUUGAAUGUGAAAGCCCCGGGCUCAACCUGGGAACUGCAUCCAAAACUGGCGAGCUAGAGUAGGGGAGAGGGUGGUGGAAGUACCUGUGUAGCGGUGAAAUGCGUAGAUAUAGGAAGGAACACCAGUGGCGAAGGCGACCACCUGGGCGGAUACUGACACUGAGGUGCGAAAGCGUGGGGAGGAAACAAG